rnacentral:rRNA from 1 species
UGGCGGACGGGUGAGUAACGCGUGGAAAACCUGCCGUAUACUGGGGGAUAACACUUAGAAAUAGGUGCUAAUACCGCAUAAGCGCACAGCUCGCAUGAAGCGGUGUGAAAAACUCUGGUGGUAUACGAUGGUUCCGCGUCUGAUUAGCUAGUUGGUGGGGGUAAUGGCCUACCAAGGCAACGAUCAGUAGCCGGCCUGAGAGGGUGAACGGCCACAUUGGGACUGAGACACGGCCCAAACUCCUACGGAAGGCAGCAG